ensembl:miRNA
GAGGUGGGAGGAUCGCUUGAGCCUGGGAGGUUAAGGCUGCAGUGAGCUGUGAUCAUGCCACUGCACUCCAGCCUGAGUGACAGAGCAAGACC